rnacentral:rRNA from 1 species
UACGUAGGGUGCGAGCGUUGUCCGGCAUUAUUGGGCGUAAAGGGCUCGUCGGCGGUUUGUCGCGUCGGGAGUGAAAACCCAGGGCUUAACCCUGGGCUGGCUUCCGAUACGGGCAGACUAGAGGUAUGCAGGGGAGAACGGAAUUCCUGGUGUAGCGGUGAAAUGCGCAGAUAUCAGGAGGAACACCGGUGGCGAAGGCGGUUCUCUGGGCAUUACCUGACGCUGAGGAGCGAAAGUGUGGGGAGCGAACAGG